rnacentral:rRNA from 1 species
AUACAGAGGGUGCAAGCGUUAAUCGGAAUUACUGGGCGUAAAGCGAGCGUAGGUGGCUUGAUAAGUCAGAUGUGAAAGCCCCGGGCUUAACCUGAGAACGGCAUCUGAUACUGUUAGGCUAGAGUAGGUGAGAGGAAGGUAGAAUUCCAGGUGUAGCGGUGAAAUGCGUAGAGAUCUGGAGGAAUACCGAUGGCGAAGGCAGCCUUCUGGCAUCAUACUGACACUGAGGUUCGAAAGCAUGGGGAGC